rnacentral:siRNA from 1 species
CCGGUCGACGAUUUCAACUCCUGG